GGCUAAGUGAGUGUCCCCUUCCUCCCUCACUGUUCCAUGUGCCUCCCUCUCCAAACUGUGGGCUUGGUUGAAGACGACGACCUUCCCCAAUAGAAGAAGACUGUUCUUCAGUCAUGGGCAUACGAGUAGCUGUGUCUCCCUGCUCGAACCUCCAAACAAGCUCUCAAAGUCCAUAAAUGAUGGACAACACAAUACUAAGAUAGUAACAGCAAUGGCAGAUUACGGGUGAUUUUUACUUUCAU
rnacentral:sRNA from 1 species